rnacentral:rRNA from 1 species
AACGAACGCUGGCGGCAGGCCUAACACAUGCAAGUCGAACGAGAUCUUCGGAUCUAGUGGCGGACGGGUGAGUAACGCGUGGGAACGUACCCUUUGCUUCGGAAUAGCCUCGGGAAACUGGGAGUAAUACCGGAUACGCCCUUAGGGGGAAAGAUUUAUCGGCAAAGGAUCGGCCCGCGUUGGAUUAGGUAGUUGGUGGGGUAACGGCCUACCAAGCCGACGAUCCAUAGCUGGUUUGAGGGGAUGAUCAGCCACACUGGAACUGAGACACGGCCCAGACUCCUACGGGAGGCAGCAGUGGGGAAUCUUAGACAAUGGGGGCAACCCUGAUCUAGCCAUGCCGCGUGAUCGAUGAAGGCCUUAGGGUUGUAAAGAUCUUUCAGCUGGGAAGAUAAUGACUGUACCAGCAGAAGAAGCCCCGGUUAACUCCGUGCCAGCAGCCGCCGUAAUAC